rnacentral:SRP_RNA from 13 species
ACCGGGUGUGGUGGCUCACGCCUGUAAUCCUAGCACUUUGGGAGGCCGGGGUGGGUGGAUCACCUGAGGUCAGGAGUUCAAAACCAGCCUGGCCAUCAUGGUGAAACCCCAUCUUUAUGUUUUUAUAAAUAAAUAAAUAAAAAGAUGGGGUUUCAUCCUGAUGGCCAGGCUGGUGUUGAACUCCUGACCUCAGGUGAUCCACCCACCCCGG